AUUUCUGCAAAGAAAAGUUCAAAAACAAAUUCUUCCUGAUUUUAAUGUCAAAUAUAAAAAAAACCCAUCAUUUUACUGGUUUUGUUGUAUAAAUUCGACAUAAAAGUUGCACGAAAUAAGCUGCAUUAUAUAUCAUUUUUGUAAUAAAGUACUCAAUAAAAAGUAAGUAGUUUUGAACACGACAAAGAUAACAUUGGGACAUAUAAAUGUACAUAGACGGAAUAAUUAAUAUAAUAAACCUUUCCAGUAUCAAUUUACAUAUUUGAAAAUAGCUGAACAUACGUAUGCAUUUUUAUUAUUUUUAAUCAGUUACAGUUUUUGUUCUUUUCUCAGGGAAAUUGUGUGUACGUGUAUUUACAUUGUACGUGUUGUAUUAACAUUGUGCAUGUAUUAGCAUUGUACGUGUAUUUACAUUGUACAUUUACAUUUACAUUGUACUUGUUUUUACAUUGUACGUGUAAACAUUGUCUACAGUUUUCCACUUAUUUGUUAUGUUUUGUUUACAGUUAUACAUAUGUUUCAUUAUUGAAACAAUGUUCAUUUUUUAUUUGUUUUGCAUUUUUUGUAUAUUUAAAGGAUUUUGCGGCAUUAUUGCAGGUAAUUGUAAAUAAAUACGUAGUAUUUUGUUCAGAAAAAGAGGAAUUGUUUCUUUUCUUAUUUGUAGCAAUUUGUUUUACAUAUAUUUUUUGAUACAAAACUAAACUUCAUCUAAGGGGCAGCAAUCCAUGUAAUAAGAACAAUGAACUUCUACAUUGGAAGAGUUAAAUCAGAAUAGUUUCAUGUUUUUAUUUAUUUGAUCUCUUCGGGAAUUGAGUUUCGUAUUUUCUUCUUAAGUAUUAAGAUAGCUAUAUUGAUCUUAAUGUAAUUACAAGUUAACCAAUCUGUUUAUUGAGCGCAAUUCCAAAGAAUGUGUAUUAGAUCAAAACAUUUUACCAAAAUAUAUUUAGAACAAUUCCAAAG
rnacentral:lncRNA from 1 species